rnacentral:rRNA from 1 species
AGAAUCAACGCUGGCGGCGUGCCUAACACAUGCAAGUCGAACGAGAAAGUGGAGCAAUCCAUGAGUAAAGUGGCGACCGGGUGAGUAACACGUGACUAACCUACCUUCGAGUGGGGGAUAACCUCGGGAAACCGAGGCUAAUACCGCAUAACAUCGUGAGAUCAAAGCAGUAAUGCGCUGGAAGAGGGGGUCGCGGCUGAUUAGCUAGUUGGCGGGGUAAUGGCCCACCAAGGCGAAGAUCGGUAGCCGGCCUGAGAGGGCGCGACGGACCGACGACCUGGAACGUGAAACACGGUCCAGACUCCUACGGGAGGCAGCAGUGGGGAAUUUUGCGCAAUGGGGGAAACCCUGACGCAGCAACGCCGCGUGGAGGAUGAAAUCCCUUGGGAUGUAAACUCCUUUCGAUCGGGAAGAUAAUGACGGUACCGGAAGAAGAAGCCCCGGCUAACUUCGUGCCAGCAGCCGC